rnacentral:rRNA from 1 species
AUUGAACGCUGGCGGCAGGCCUAACACAUGCAAGUCGAGCGAGCGGCGGACGGGUGAGUAAUGUAUGGGGACUGCCCGAUAGAGGGGGAUAACUACUGGAAACGGUGGCUAAUACCGCAUACUAUCGGAUAACCCAUAUGGGAUUAGCUAGUAGGUGGGGUAAAGGCUCACCUAGGCCACGAUCUCUAGCUGGUCUGAGAGGAGGAUCAGCCAAACUGGAAUUGAGACACGGCCCAGACUCCUACGGAGGCAGCAGUGGGGAAUAUUGCAAAAGGGGCGAAAGCCGGAUGAAGCAAUGCCGCGUGUAGGAAGAAGGCCUUAGGGUUUUAAAGUACUUUCAGCGGGGAGGCGUUACCCACAGAAGAAGCACCGGCUAACUCCGUGCCAGCAGCCGCGGUAAUUC